AUUGAACGCUGGCGGCAUGCCUUACACAUGCAAGUCGAACGGCAGCACGGGAGCAAUCCUGGUGGCGAGUGGCGAACGGGUGAGUAAUAUAUCGGAACGUGCCCAGUCGUGGGGGAUAACGCAGCGAAAGCUGUGCUAAUACCGCAUACGAUCUACGAAUGAAAGCGGGGGAUCGCAAGACCUCGCGCGAUUGGAGCGACCGAUAUCAGAUUAGCUAGUUGGUGAGGUAAAGGCUCACCAAGGCGACGAUCUGUAGCUGGUCUGAGAGGACGACCAGCCACACUGGAACUGAGACACGGUCCAGACUCCUACGGGAGGCAGCAGUGGGGAAUUUUGGACAAUGGGCGCAAGCCUGAUCCAGCAAUGCCGCGUGCAGGAUGAAGGCCUUCGGGUUGUAAACUGCUUUUGUACGGAACGAAACGGUGAGCUCUAAUACAGUUUGCUAAUGACGGUACCGUAAGAAUAAGCACCGGCUAACUACGUGCCAGCCGCCGCAGUAACAC
rnacentral:rRNA from 1 species